GAUGAACGCUGGCGGCGUGCUUAACACAUGCAAGUCGAGCGAGUGAGUUCUUCGGAACGAUCUAGCGGCGGACGGGUGAGUAACACGUGGGCAACCUGCCUCAUAGAGGGGAAUAGCCUCCCGAAAGGGAGAUUAAUACCGCAUAAAAUUAUCGAGUGGCAUCACAUGAUAAUCAAAGGAGUAAUCCGCUAUGAGAUGGGCCCGCGGCGCAUUAGCUAGUUGGUGAGGUAACGGCUCACCAAGGCGACGAUGCGUAGCCGACCUGAGAGGGUGAUCGGCCACAUUGGGACUGAGACACGGCCCAGACUCCUACGGGAGGCAGCAGUGGGGAAUAUUGCACAAUGGGGGAAACCCUGAUGCAGCAACGCCGCGUGAGUGAUGAAGGUCUUCGGAUUGUAAAGCUCUGUCUUUGGGGACGAUAAUGACGGUACCCAAGGAGGAAGCCACGGCUAACUACGUGCCAGCAGCCGCCGUAA
rnacentral:rRNA from 1 species